rnacentral:lncRNA from 1 species
UCUUAUAGAGAUAAACGCGCCUUCACAUCUUCUUAACCCGAAAUGGCUGGGGAGAGGAAAGGUUCCUUUUUUUGAGGGUACUCCCGGGAACAGAUCCAGACCACCUACUCUCACAUCUAACCCCAACUCCCUCCAACUUCAAUUUUCUAUUUUUUUAUUAAUUUGUGCCUCCCACCCCCACCCCAACCAACCCCAUUACCC